ACAAUCUGAUUUUUCUUCUAAUCACUUAAAUCUUGCACCUUUUACCAAAGAUUCCAAUGUAGAGGAACUAUUUUGAGUUUAGAACCAAUUUUUUGAAGUAUUGCUCUUUCAAGCCU